UCAUUCGUUCGUACACUCAAGACUGGUUGCUUCUUUGUUUCUAAAACUAGUUUCUUGCGCUUCUAUGUAACUUGGGGUGAAGUUACGUGUUUGCAAGCGGACAUGUAAGCCCGGCAGUUGGGUUUCGGUCGUGAGCCAUUCGGAACAGGUCUGCAUCGAAACGGGAGCUGGAUUUUGCUGCGGCUGACAACGGCAAUAACGACAUGCAGUAAUGAGGACGGCACCAGUAUAAAGCAACACACUCCACGCACUAAACAGAAGCUGCUGCCUGCUACGACAAGGUCAUUGUGUGGACAUUGGCUACUACUACAAGAGUCUAUGCCAAGCACAUCUUGGUCAUCACAGGAGCUCCUAUCUGCACCAACAGGAAGGGGCUGGAGCCGAAUUUGCUAGGCUUUUACACCAAGAACAAAGAAGCACAUGCACAAGAAUAUGGAUGAGAUAUCAAGUCUGCAAAGGACUGUGUUAAGACUGCAAAGAGCUUCAGCCACCAUUCCACCAGCAUGGACAUUUGGCUGAGUCAUCCAAGUAACUCAAAAAGGACUUUCUAGAAAUUCUUCGUCUUCAGAUGCACCUGCAACAUCUGACCAAGCACGGACGACGCUGGCCAAAAGAUUGAGUUUCAUCAGUUCGUCCUUAAUCAGCUUCCAAGCCAUGUUAAUUCCGUUUGUGCGAAGUGUAAUUUUUCUUCUAUAAAUGCAAGCUUUC